AAGGAUCAUUACUGAGGUUGUCACUUCUCCGGAGGUGUUACCCGUCCUUAUGUCAUACGCACGGGCCACGUGUGCCUGUGGUAUGCCUCCGCGAGGAGGUAUGCUGCGGGCUGCGCGGAACGAGACUGUAUUUCCGCCGAGGUGGCGUGCUUCUUUCCUCCCUCGAGUGAUCGAGAUGGAGCGUAAUACGUCCGCGGCGGGCCCCAAUAUUUACAAUUCUUGCGAGAACUUGAAGUCUGAAUACCAAUUGAAAAAUUUAAAAAAGCAAAACUUUCAACAACGGAUCUCUUGGCUCUGGCAACGAUGAAGAACGCAGCGAAACGCGAAAGGUAAUGCGAAUUGCAGAAUCAGUGAGUCAUCGAAUCUUUGAACGCACAUUGCGCCUCUAGGUAUUCCUGGAGGCACGCCUGUUCGAGCGCCAUUACACACUCCAAGCCCUGCUUGAUGUUGGACCGUCCGAGUUGAAUCGGAGGUCUGGAACGUGUAGGCGUUGGGCGUCGGACCACGAGCGUAGCAAGACUUUUAAUCGGUCACGAUCGUUCUGUGGAGCCGGCGUUCGACGGUCUUUUUCCUUCUCUCUCUCACUCUUUUGGGGGGGCGAGAGGAGCUUUUUUACCAUUAAAAAGUUUGGCCUCGGAUCAGGCGGGGGAUACCCGCUGAACUUAAGCAUAUCAAUAAGCGGAGGAAAAGAAACCAACCGGGAUUGCCCCAGUAACGGCGAGUGAAGCGGCAACAGCUCAAAUUUGAAAUCUGGCGGUCUGACCGUCCGAGUUGUAAUUUGUAGAGGGAGUCUCGGGUUGAGGGUCGGUCCAAGUCUCUUGGAACAGAAUACCGCAGAGGGUGAGAGUCCCGUCUCCGGCCGACACCGACGCCCAUGUGAGGCCCCUUCGACGAGUCGAGUUGUUUGGGAAUGCAGCUCUAAAUGGGUGGUAAAUUCCAUCUAAGGCUAAAUACCGGCCAGAGACCGAUAGCGAACAAGUAGAGUGAUCGAAAGAUGAAAAGCACUUUGAAAAGAGAGUCAAACAGUACGUGAAAUUGUUGAAAGGGAAGCGUAUGAGGGCAGACUUGGCCGCGAGUGUUCUCCCCGUCUUCUGGCGGGGUUACUCUCUCGCGGACAGGCCAGCAUCGGUUUCCGGGGCCGGACAAAGACGUUGGGAAUGUGGCUCUCUUCGGAGAGUGUUAUAGCCCGGCGUGCAAUGCGGCCUCUGGGGACCGAGGACCGCGCUUUAUGCAAGGAUGCUGGCGUAAUGGCCUUAUACGGCC
rnacentral:rRNA from 1 species